ACGCUCGACACCUACGGGAGGCNGCAGUAGGGAAUCUUCCACAAUGGACGCAAGUCUGAUGGAGCAACGCCGCGUGAGUGAAGAAGGUCUUCGGAUCGUAAAACUCUGUUGUUAGAGAAGAACACGAGUGAGAGUAACUGUUCAUUCGAUGACGGUAUCUAACCAGCAAGUCACGGCUAACUACGUGCCAACAGCCGCGGUAAUCUGAGCGGGCUGGCAAGGC
rnacentral:rRNA from 1 species